rnacentral:lncRNA from 1 species
GUUGUGCCAGCGGAAGCUUUGAUGCCAACAAUGUUAGUUCAAGAACACAAAGAUAAAACAAUCACACAUACGGUACACGAGGUUUUAACGUGGUUCGGCCAACCAUGCCUACAUCCACGGAUGAGAGAGAAUAAUUCCACUAUACAAUAGAGAAUAUUACAGAGGAUAGAACCAGAUACAAUUAUUGGGUUCCCGAAACAUCCCAUGUUUCCCCACUCCUUGUAUCCAUACCUUACUACGAGCCCUCUCGCUCCACCAGGUACCUCCCGUUCUUCCUCACAUCUCUAUCCACCUCGUAUAGUCUCUAUAGGCCCAUCUCCAUCUCAUAACUUUUUCCCCUCAUGACCCAGAAUAUUUAUAGAGAUAUUUCCAACAACCUUCCUUAUUGAAUAAGGAAGUCUAAUAUUACAAUAAUAUAUCAACCUAUAAAUAUUCUAUAUAAUAUUCUUUACAAAGAAAGGAAUCUAUACUAAUUAGGAAUUUGGGACACUUCCUAACAAUCUCCACCUUGGACCAAAUUACAUGAAGUUAAUCUUCAAUCUCUCUAUGACACAAACCUUUUUGUAUCAUAUCACCACGAAAUAGCAAUCAACUCCACCUUCAGUGAAAAUUCCUUUUGUUUUCAUCUUGUGUGCUUUGUGAUAUUUUACUCUUCCAGAAAUCUUCAACCCAAGCUCUGAUACCAAUUGUUGUGCCAGCGGAAGCUUUGAUGCCAACGAUGUUAGUUCAAGAACACAAAGAUAAAAACAAUCACACAUACGGUACACGAGGUUUUAACGUGGUUCGGCCAACCAUGCCUACGUCCACGGAUGAGAGAGAAUAAUUCCACUACACAAUAGAGAAUAUUACAGAGGAUAGAACCAGAUACAACUAUUGGGUUCCCGAAACAUCCCAUGUUUCCCCACUCCUUGUAUCCAUACCUUACUACGAGCCUUCUCGCUCCACCAGGUACCUCCCGUUCUUCCUCACAUCUCUAUCCACCUCGUAUAGUCUCUAUAGGUCCAUCUCCAUCUCAUAACUUUUUCCCCUCAUGACCUAGAAUAUUUAUAGAGAUAUUUCCAACAACCUUCCUUAUUCUAUAAGGAAGUCUAAUAUUACAAUAAUAUAUCAACCUAGAAAUAUUCUAUAUAAUAUUCUUUACAAAGAAAGGAAUCUAUACUAAUUAGGAAUUUGGAACACUUCCUAACAAUCUCCACCUUGGACCAAAUUACAUGAAGUUAAUCUUCAAUCUCUCCAUGACACAAAUCUUUUUGUAUCAUAUCACCACGAAAUAGCAAUCAACUCCACCUUCAGUGAAAAUUCCUUUUGUUUUCAUCUUGUGUGCUUUGUGAUCUUUUACUCUUCCAGAAAUCUUCAACCCAAGCUCUGAUACCAAUUGUUGUGCCAGCGGAAGCUUUGAUGCCAACAAUGUUAGUUCAAGAACACAAAGAUAAAACAAUCACACAUACGGUACACGAGGUUUUAACGUGGUUCGGCCAACCAUGCCUACAUCCACGGAUGAGAGAGAAUAAUUCCACUAUACAAUAGAGACUAUUACAGAGGAUAGAACCAGAUACAAUUAUUGGGUUCUCGAAACAUCCCAUGUUUCCCCACUCCUUGUAUCCAUACCUUACUACGAGCCCUCUCGCUCCACCAGGUACCUCCCGUUCUUCCUCACAUCUCUAUCCACCUCGUAUAGUCUCUAUAGGCCCAUCUCCAUCUCAUAACUUUUUCCCCUCAUGACCCAGAAUAUUUAUAGAGAUAUUUCCAAC